rnacentral:miRNA from 14 species
UGUAUGUGCAUUUGUGUAUAUGUGUAUGUAUGUCUAUGUGUGUAUAUGAAUAUACAUAUACAUACACACAAACGCAUACAGGCAAACACACACAC